rnacentral:lncRNA from 1 species
UCCUAAGAAAAACCAAACGACAGAUCGAGCAACUGUUUACGAGGUUCUGCUCGUUUUCUGGGUCAAAUCGGGGUGUUGAUAAAAGGAAGGAAUUGAUAUAUCAAAACGUCACCACGUGAAGACAAUGGAUCGCGAGAAGAUAGAUAAAUCAUUGCAACAGGGGAAAUCUGCUACAUAAUUAAAGCCUGGUAUUGUUACUCUGCAGCAACACGGAUGUGGAGGUGACCCUGACUCGGCCUCCACGGGUGCGGCCUUCCGUUGAACCGGCUCAUCGUGGCUCGCGUCGUCGCCACGGCCGAGCCCUGAGCCGGUUCGCCUCUGUUCGCCUUCCGCUAAAGCCACCGUCGCCUCGUCCCUGGCGCUGAAACCACCGUCUGUUCAACUAGACACCGAGUCGCUGAGCCAGCUACAUCUGUUGCGCUUCCCGUCCGAACCGCCAUGAGUCUCCGCCGCGCCUCCUCGUUGCUCCGGUUACGAGCUGCUGUCGCCACUGAGCGCCAUCACCUCGCCGCCACCAUGGCAUGCCGCCGCUGUAGCUUCACCCAGCCACGCGAGACACACCUCGAGCCGGUUCGCCUCUGCCGCCCUGGCCUCGCUCCGCCCGCGGCCCGUAUUCGGGCCGGUUUCGCCAAGUCACCUUUCCCCACCUCGCCUCCACGCGCAUCGCUAGCGCCAGCUCCCGUGCGUCCAGCUGGUAUAAUAGCUGCUACACCAGGGUAAUGCACGCUGCAUCACCUACUGCUGUUGGCGUCUGAUCCAGAGAAGAAAAGGAAACCAACCAACAGCUACACAUGCGCGUUGACGUCGCGCCGUGGCCGACUUGGCCUCGAUGAGCUGCCGUGCCGUAGCCAUCUGAGCCUCGCUGUGGCUGCCUUGCCUGGGCUUGUGCAUGCCCUCGGCCAUUGGCGUUUGCAGCAAACUCGGACCAGGCCACCCAGCGCUCCCGCCCGCUCGGCCGCUUUCUCGCCGUGCUUUCGAGCCGGCCUCGCCGCGUGUUCAAGCCGGUUUUGCCUCGCUGGCCAGCGCACGCUUCGGCUGCAAGCCACCCUAUCGCUAACCCCACGAUGCCACACCUCACCUGCUCAUGGCGCGUGAGCCAUCGACCACUUUGCGUCACACCAUCGUGGUCACUUCGCCUGCUUCGCCACAGCAGACUCCGCUCCCGCCUCCGCCAUGGCCUCGCCUAGCCACCGUGGCUUCGUCCACGCCCCUGCUCACCCACCUCCGCUUUGGUCCGAGCACGCCAAGUCUCAGCC